rnacentral:rRNA from 1 species
AAUGCCCUCCGUCGUCAUCCCUUAGAAGGCGUUACCUGCUUCCAGACUGCCUCGCUGCGGCGCACCCCCUACUGCCGGAAGCCUAGCAUUUUGAGACAACAGCCCCUUCUUGUUCAUAGCCGGAUUAUGCGGCCAUGGAACUGCCAUGGACUAAUCUUUCGGGGCCGAUUGAUGCACGGUCGUCGGCGCCAUUA